rnacentral:rRNA from 1 species
CACCGCGGUUAUACGAGAGGCCCAAGUUGUUAGUCCUCGGCGUAAAGAGUGGUUAGGAACAACCCAAAUACUAAAGCCAAACAUCUUCAAAGCUGUUAUACGCUCUCGAAGACAAGAAGUUCAACCACGAAAGUGGCUUUAAGUUCUCCGAACCCACGAAAGCUAUGGUA